UUGUAUCAAUUUGUAGUUUUUCCUUCUCUAUUUUUUCAUAAAAUCUGUCAAAAAUGUUAAAAAUAAAAUGUUCUCAAUUCACUCUCUCUCUCUACCAUUGCUGAGAAAACAAUUACAUUUGACCUCCUUUUUCUUUCUCUUCUCUUCCUUUUAUUUUUCUUUAAGUGAAAUAAAAUAGCCACCAGCCAACCAACACUGGCUACACGGUUGGUGAACCACCGGAACAACCCUAAACCACAAGUCACCUAAGGCAUCGGAGAACCAUCAACAAGCGUAGAUGCGACACCAGCAACAGCCAAUAACCACCGUGCCACUGGAGAAAACACAAACUUUACCUGCAAGGUUCUUAAAUAGCUUGUUUCUGAGGUACUAAAAAUGCAAACUAAAAGCCCCACUUGAUUUUCUUCUCAGACUUGUAAUUUUUAAAUUUUAAUUAGUUGAAUAAGAUGUAAAGGUUGAGUUUGUUCAAUUUUAUUUGAAAAAUUGUAGAUUUUCGGUGUAUGUUAUUAACAAAAUGCUUUUUCUAAGGUGCAAUAUUUAAGUGUUUUGUCCACUUUAGAUAACUAUUUUCUUUUCAUAUUUUCCGAGGAGUCUAGAGUGUUUUUUACAUCAAUGUAGGGAUUAUGAGACAUUGUAAAGAUUGUCUAUUUGAUUCCUGGCAAUAUGAAUGUUCAUGGUACUUGAUUUAAUCACCAAAGUUGGUGUUUUUUCCGUUUUGAGAUGAUUAAGUCAAGAGCAUUGAAAUUUCAUACUGUAAAGAACUUAGAUUUUAAUGGUAAAAAGAUUAAAAUGCAUUUGUCUGUCAAGUGCUUCAAUUGCAGCAUUUUACUUUUUAUGUACUUUUUGGUGAAAUUGGAAUCAUUGCGUGUCUGUAGUUUUUAUUCAUGGGGCUGUGUGAUCUCUAUGAUUUCGGCUAGACAGUUCUUACUUUAUCUUGUGGUUGCAGUAUUAUCUCGUGGCUAGUUGUGUUAGUUUAUUUUUCAUUUAGCUUUUGUGUUUGUGAUACUAUUAUCGGUUCUAAGCUGGGGUCUAUCAAAAAUAGCCUCUCUACUUCAUGUGAGGUAGUGGUAGGGUUUGCAUACCCUCUUUCCUCCCCAGACCCUACUAUGUAGGAAUAAACUGGGUAUGUUGUUGUUGUUGUUCUCCCAUUACUGACAAACACCUACUACUCACUCUACAUUGCCGACAAAUACUAACUACGAGCUUGUGAAUAAUUAACUCUUAGUUUAUUCCUCAAAUAGUUGAGUGGUCGCUAAUUUUGCCCUAGCAUCAAUAAUAAUUAUACGCAAUUUGUAGAUGCACAAUAUGAGCUUGUGAGGGAUCCGAUGCUCAGCUUUGCCAAUUAUAUUCAUCUUUGUCAAUUGUAAAAGGUUUUCUUCUUAACUAUUCGGUCUUCUUCCUUGGGU
rnacentral:lncRNA from 1 species